rnacentral:rRNA from 1 species
UACUUAGGGGGCAAGCGUUAUCCGGAAUUACUGGGCGUAAAGCGCACGCAGGCGGUUCGCCAAGUUUGGAGUGACAGUUGUCGGCUCAACCGACAAAGGACUUCAAAAACUGGUGAACUUGAGGACGAGAGAGGAACAUGGAACUCCAGGUGUAGUAGUGAAAUGCGUAGAUAUCUGGAAGAACACCAAUGGCGAAGGCAAUGUUCUGGCUCGUUUCUGACGCUCAGGUGCGAAAGCCAGGGGAGCGAACGGG